GAUGAACGCUAGCGGCAGGCUUAAUACAUGCAAGUCGUGGGGCAGCAUGAGUAGCAAUACUUGAUGGCGACCGGCAAACGGGUGAGGAACACGUACACAACCUUCCUUCAAGCGGGGAAUAGCCCAGAGAAAUUUGGAUUAAUACCCCAUAAUAUAUUUGAUAAGGCAUCUUAUUAAUAUUAAAGCUUCGGCACUUGAUGAUGGGUGUGCGGCUGAUUAGAUAGUUGGCGGGGUAACGGCCCACCAAGUCUACGAUCAGUAGCUGAUGUGAGAGCAUGAUCAGCCACACGGGCACUGAGACACGGGGCCCGACUCCUACGGGAGGCAGCAGUAAGGAAUAUUGGAUAAUGGACGAAAGUCUGAUCCAGCCAUGCCGCGUGAAAGGAUUAAGGUCCUCUGGAUUGUAAACUUCUUUUAUAUGGGACAAAAAGGGCAUUCUUGUUCACUUGACGGUACCAUAUGAAUUAAGCACCGGCUAACUCCGUGCCAG
rnacentral:rRNA from 1 species